GCGGGUGUAAUUCAGCGGCAGAAUGCAAGCUUCCCAAGCUUGACGUUGUGGGUUCGACUCCCAUCACCCGCU
rnacentral:tRNA from 1 species